GACGAACGCUGGCGGCGUGCCUAAUACAUGCAAGUAGAACGCACAGUUUAUACCGUAGCUUGCUACACCAUAGACUGUGAGUUGCGAACGGGUGAGUAACGCGUAGGUAACCUGCCUGGUAGCGGGGGAUAACUAUUGGGAACGAUAGCUAAUACCGCAUAAUAUUAAUUAUUGCAUGAUAAUUAAUUGAAAGGUGCAAUUGCACCACUACCAGAUGGACCUGCGUUGUAUUAGCUAGUAGGUGAGGUAACGGCUCACCUAGGCGACGAUACAUAGCCGACCUGAGAGGGUGAUCGGCCACACUGGGACUGAGACACGGCCCAGACUCCUACGGGAGGCAGCAGUAGGGAAUCUUCGGCAAUGGACGAAAGUCUGACCGAGUAACGCCGCGUGAGUGAAGAAGGGUUUCGGAUCGUAAAGCUCUGUUGUAAGAGAAGAACGGGUGUGAGAGUGGAAAGUUCACACUGUGACGGUAUCUUACCAGAAAGGGACGGCUAACUACGUG
rnacentral:rRNA from 1 species